CCCUCCCUGUUGUCAGCGUAAUGGUAGCUGCUGGCUGAAACGAAGCGCCGUUUCUGGGAUUCAUGUUCGAGGCUUGAUGAUCUUUUAUCUGAACUGGGGAAAGCUAGACAUGAAUUUGGUUUUGGGUGAAACGAGGAAAAAUAGGAACGGAACAAAACUGUUGUGAUCCAAGGACAAAAGCAAAAAACUCUAACAAACAUACCGGUCUAGAUGCAACACCGGUUCCAGUACUAGCUGAAUUCAUGGUUGCUUGUGGAGGUGGCUGGACACGGCCUGUAGAGAAAAACUAACCCUGGACUGACAGGUGCCCCUGGACCUUAUGGGGAGAGAAAAAAAGGAAAAUAUGUCUACAUAGAAACCAUUACAACAGACAUACCAAGGGCAGAAAACAGAAAAGUAAAUCAAGUCGAAACACAGUGAAUAAUACAGUAAAAUACAGUGAAAAGCUUCAACAGUCACAAACUAUCCAAAAUGGCACUGGAUUUUGAAGAGUGGAAAGGAUAUAAGAUAUAACAGAGUUCAGAGCUGGCCCACCAACGACACCUGCGCUGCAUAAUGGGAUCUGAAGUCAAAACUUUCCAACUUAUGGACAGGAGUCACUGAACCAAGGCUAACACCUAAAAGGCCUUCAACAAUUUUGAUGCAAUAGCAAGGUUUGGAACCAGGAAGCUUACAGAAACCACCACAGACUGAGACCUCAGGGACCACAUCUCCUGCACCUCCAUUCAAAAACUAGUUCAGUGAAGAAUGUAAGGUAAGCAUCCUGAGAGCUGUAUUAAGCACAUGAGAAAACCAGACAAAGUUGCAACUGAGGCUACGUAAAUGCCAAACAACAAAUUCAGUAUGUGAUAAAUUAGAAAAAAGUGAACCCACAACUAACAGGUCUGGUGAAAGUCUUGGUAAGCAGGCUAGUGGGGAGUGACUGGGCUGAAUCUCAUGAUUUUUUUUUAAGCUAAGUGCAUGUUGUGUCAAUUUUGAGGGAUACUCGCUGUGAAUUCCAGUGAGCUUUCUCACCUUCGCACUAUCUACUUCAUCCCAGGGCAUCCAUCACGUCUACUUUCUAGUCCUAUUUAACCAUGUACCAUUCCCAGAACAAUGCACCACUCAGUGGAUAGCCAUGAGAAGACCAGCAUUUCUUGCACUGACACCAUCUUUAAAAGGCUGUGGUCCUCAAGCACUAGCAAACUGCCAUGGUUCCUCCUUGGUGACGUAAUUGUACAACAGCCACAAAAGCACACUGGUCAUAAGACAUAGCCAGCAUGACACUUACUUGCACAUGCAACCCCAUUCUCUCACCA